GAUGAAGAAAGCAGCGAAAUGCGAUAAGUGAUGUGAAUUGCAGAAUUCAGUGAAUCAUCGAAUCUUUGAACGCACAUUGCGCCCGCCAGUAUUCUGGCGGGCAUGCCUGUCUGAGCGUCAUUUCAACCCUCAUGCCCCUAGGGCGUGGUGUUGGGGAUCGGCCAAAGCCCGCGAGGGACGGCCGGCCCCUAAAUCUAGUGGCGGACCCGUCGUGGCCUCCUCUGCGAAGUAGUGAUAUUCCGCAUCGGAGAGCGACGAGCCCCUGCCGUUAAACCCCCAACUUUCCAAGGUUGACCUCAGAUCAGGUAGGAAUACCCGCUGAACUUAAGCAUAUCAAUAAGCGGAGGA
rnacentral:misc_RNA from 1 species